rnacentral:rRNA from 1 species
AAUGAACGCUGGCGGCAGGCCUAACACAUGCAAGUCGAGCGAGCAUUUCGGUGCUAGCGGCGGACGGGUGAGUAACGCGUGGGAACGUGCCCUUUUCUGCGGAAUAGUCCUGGGAAACUGGGGGUAAUACCGCAUACGCCCUUUUGGGGAAAGAUUUAUCGGAGAAGGAUCGGCCCGCCUUGGAUUAGGUAGUUGGUGGGGUAAUGGCCCACCAAGCCGACGAUCCAUAGCUGGUUUGAGAGGAUGAUCAGCCACACUGGGACUGAGACACGGCCCAGACUCCUACGGGAGGCAGCAGUGGGGAAUCUUAGACAAUGGGGGCAACCCUGAUCUAGCCAUGCCGCGUGAGUGAUGAAGGCCUUAGGGUUGUAAAGCUCUUUCAGCUGGGAAGAUAAUGACGGUACCAGCAGAAGAAGCCCCGGCUAACUCCGUG